rnacentral:tRNA from 1 species
GCGAAAGUAGCUCAGGGGUAGAGCAUCACCUUGCCAAGGUGGAGGUCGAGGGUUCGAAUCCCUUUUUUCGCUCAA